UACGUAGGAGGCAAGCGUUGUCCGGAAUUACUGGGCGUAAAGCGCGUGUAGGUGGUGGGACAAGUCUGCUGUGAAAGCGCCUGGCUUAACCGGGCGAGGUCGGCGGAAACUGUUCGACUCGAGGACGGUAGAGGGGGGUGGAAUUCCCGGUGUAGUGGUGAAAUGCGUAGAGAUCAGGAGGAACACCCAUGGCGAAGGCAGCUCUCUGGUCGACAUCUGACGCUGAGACGCGAAAGCGUGGGGAGCGAACGGG
rnacentral:rRNA from 1 species